rnacentral:rRNA from 1 species
UCGAGAAUCUUCGGCAAUGGGCGCAAGCCUGACCGAGCGACGCCGCGUGCGGGAUGAAGGCCCUUGGGUUGUAAACCGCUGUCAGGGGGGAGGAAGGCUUCGGCUUGACCGAGCCCCAGAGGAAGCACGGGCUAAGUUCGUGCCAGCAGCCGCGGUAAUACGAACUGUGCGAACGUUAUUCGGAAUCACUGGGCUUACAGGGUGCGUAGGCGGCUCUUCAAGUCAGGUGUGAAAUCCCCCGGCUCAACCGGGGAACUGCGCUUGAAACUGGGGAGCUUGAGUCAGCUAGAGGCAGGCGGAACUUCCGGUGGAGCGGUGAAAUGUGUUGAUAUCGGAAGGAACACCAGAGGCGAAAGCGGCCUGCUGGAGCUGGUCUGACGCUGAGGCACGAAAGCCAGGGGAGCGAACGGGAUUAGAUACCCCCGUAGUCC